rnacentral:rRNA from 1 species
CCGUAACACAGGUGCUGCAUGGCUGUCGUCAGCUCGUGUCGUGAGAUGUUGGGUUAAGUCCCGCAACGAGCGCAACCCUUGUCAUUAGUUGCUACAUUCAGUUGGGCACUCUAAUGAGACUGCCGGUGACAAGCCGGAGGAAGGUGGGGAUGACGUCAAGUCCUCAUGGCCCUUAUAGGUGGGGCUACACACGUCAUACAAUGGCUGGUACAGAGGGUUGCCAACCCGCGAGGGGGAGCCAAUCCCAUAAAGCCAGUCGUAGUCCGGAUCGUAGUUUGCAACUCGACUACGUGAAGUCGGAAUCGCUAGUAAUCGUGGAUCAGAAUGUCACGGUGAAUACGUUCCCGGGUCUU